UUUCCUUUUCCGCAUCACUUGUUUUACCAUUGGGAAUCCGAAUCAUUUAAAGAAUCGUUUCGUUUGAACUGUUUAUUUCAAUCAACUGAAUAGUUUGAGUCAUCAAAAGUGUUGCCGGAACUUAACGUGCUGUUUAUAUAUCCAGUUAACAAUUUCAGAAAAGCAACAUUGUAUUUUAUGAACUCUUGCGAAUCGAUUCGAUCGAUUCGUUUUCGAAUCGGACGUCACGAGUUUGUAUCAACUUUGCAACAUGGCGACAGACCACAUCAGCGAAUUGGUUGGUAUGGAAAACUCCGACCGUACCUCGCGCUCUGGUUUUUGCAGCAAUAAAUACUCAUUGCUUGUCAUUGUUGGACAGCCCGGGCCUUCUGGAUUUGUGGAUCUGCUAGUAACAGAGAUUGAAAGAGGUAUACGCUCAUGGGAUAUCAACCUGACUGCUUGCAAUCUAGAUGAACAACUCAAACUGUUUAUUUCAAGACACUCUGCAUUCUUCUCUGAGGACCUCAAAGGUAAGAAGAAAAUUC